rnacentral:tRNA from 2 species
GGAGAGGUGCUCGAGUGGUUAAAGAGGCAUGUUUGGAAAGCAUGUAUGCCUUAAAAAGGCAUCGCAGGUUCGAAUCCUGUUCUCUCCG